AGGCCUGGCAGGAGGACACAGCCUGACGAUAUCUGUCAGCGUUUAACAUACGUACACCACAUAAAACCCUGGGAGAUGUGAGUGCAUAAAGUAGUAAGGGCAGGGGCACAGUGGCCAUCUACGUGAUGUUUACCGGGGGCCAGUCACGAGUCUGACCACUUUUCACCUGGGGACUCACUUCGCCCACCCAACACACACAGUGCACAGCCCUCCCCGGGGAGCAGCAGACACCACAGACCCUCGGGCGCUCCCGUCUUCAGCAAGCGUGAACGCGCCGCUGGAAAGAAUGCU
rnacentral:lncRNA from 10 species